AGCGAACGCUGGCGGCAGGCUUAACACAUGCAAGUCGAGCGGGCCCUUCGGGGUCAGCGGUGGACGGGUGAGUAACGCGUGGGGACGUUCCUUCUGGUCUGGAAUAACCCUGGGAAACUAGGGCUAAUACCGGAUAAGCCCUUUUGGGGAAUGGGUUACUGCCGGACAAUCGGCCCGCGUCUGAUUAGCUAGUUGGUGGGGUAACGGCCUACCAAGGCGACUAUCAGUAGCUGGUCUGAGAGGAUGAUCCGACACACUGGGACUGUGACCCGGCCCAGACGCCUACGGGAGGUAGCAGUGGGGAAUAUUGGACAAUGGGCGCAAGCCUGAUCCAGCCAUGCCGCGUGAGUGUUGAAGUCCUUAGGGUUGUAAAGCUCUUUUAUCCGGGACGAUAAUGACGGUACCGGAGGAAUAAGCCCCGGCUAACUUCGUG
rnacentral:rRNA from 1 species